CCAACACAAGGAAAUACAAAAAGAUAGAAUACAAAACAUAGAAUGCCCACCCACCUAUCACACCCUGGCCUAGCUAAACAGAGAAAACACAGCUCUCCUAGGUCAGAGCGUGACAAUUACUAAUGUCAUUAAUAGGGCAGUUAGUUCUGUUCUGAAGCAUCAGGUCAUUACUAAGGCAGUUCUGUUCUGUUCUGAAGCAUCAGGUCAUUACUAAGGCAGUUCUGUUCUGUUCUGAAGCAUCAGGUCAUUACUAAGGCAGUUCUGUUCUGUUCUGAAGCAUCAGGUCAUUACUAAGGCAGUUCUGUUCUGUUCUGAAGCAUCAG
rnacentral:lncRNA from 1 species